AUUGAACGCUGGCGGCAUGCCUUACACAUGCAAGUCGAACGGUAACGCGGGGCAACCUGGCGACGAGUGGCGAACGGGUGAGUAGUAUAUCGGAACGUGCCCAGUAGUGGGGGAUAGCCCGGCGAAAGCCGGAUUAAUACCGCAUGAGACCUGAGGGUGAAAGCGGGGGAUCGCAAGACCUCGCGCUAUUGGAGCGGCCGAUAUCGGAUGAGCUAGUUGGUGGGGUAAAGGCCUACCAAGGCAACGAUCUGUAGUUGGUCUGAGAGGACGACCAGCCACACUGGGACUGAGACACGGCCCAGACUCCUACGGGAGGCAGCAGUGGGGAAUUUUGGACAAUGGGCGCAAGCCUGAUCCAGCAAUGCCGCGUGCAGGAAGAAGGCCUUCGGGUUGUAAACUGCUUUUGUCAGGGAAGAAAUCUUCUGGGUUAAUACCUCGGGAGGAUGAAGGUACCUGAAGAAUAAGCACCGGCUAACUACGUGCCAGCCGCCGCAGUAAUAC
rnacentral:rRNA from 1 species